CGUAAUUACCCAAAAUUCUCUGCGUGCUGUAGAACAAGGGGCAACAUCAAAUGGCGCAAAACUCUUGAAAUUUCAACAAAUUGUUUUCCUUACUUCUUUGUUACGUCUUAGAUUUUCACUCCCAUUCUAUUCAACCGUCAGUCGAUUUUAUCAAUCCAUUGUCAUAUCACGGUAACGAAUUUCACCACACUUGAAGUGUUCAUGAUUAAGUGGGACUAUAGGGUUAAUGGACAGAAAUUCUGUGGAGAGACUGCAAACUAGGCACAGCAGCCUUUGGCAACGGAUACACUUUUGUUUAUACAAUUGUGCUGCCGUUAACAUUUGAAAAAAAUUAUGUCAACGCUAUACCACAGCUGCCUUUGUUUCAUGUCUCUUGAAGAGAAUAGAACUAUUUGAAUUCAGAGUAUCGCAACUUCCUAUAGAAAUGCACAGCCGAGUACUAGCAGCAAUACAGUGAUGGGGAAUAUUGUAUAAAUUCCCAUUCUAGGAUCACAAGUUGAUCUUCAAUCCUUACAAUUAUCGAUCUUGAUAAAAAACUGCCCUACGGGUCCAUUGUUGCAUCGCAAGGUGGCGUUAGCUUCCAUUUAAACAUUUGGAAGGAUGUCGCACGGAGGAAUCGUGAUUGUCCUACGGAGGAAUCGUGCUUGUCGUAACGGGCUCAUUCAUCUACUUCCAUCAAAUUCUCUUCGCUUCCACCUGUUUCGACCGUCACUCAAUCCAGCCGACUACCCUGGAACUCAUUGUCAGGCCAGAUCCUGAAUCUACCUCAAAAAUUGCAGUUCUUACAUCCACAAAUGGAUAAUCCGUUGUAUUUGGUUUGCCCGCCAUGGGGACUGGGAUGACGUCACCGUCAAAUCGCCGGUUGGUGAUCAACAUUGCGGUCAGUGACUCCGGUACCGGCAACAGGAAGGCUAAGGAAGAUGACUUCGUUGCUUUUAUCCAGUCGAUUUCUAGAGCAGCGACUCCUGGGUGAUUAUCCGGCAAAUAUUGUCCGUUGUCAACUUUCAAAGCGACGUUCGUGAUCGCCGCGAUAUCCAGAGGGUUUGUCUCCAGCGGAAGUUCUCUCCCACGAUGGUACGGUUUGAAUUCAGCAAGUGGUAAUCUUACGGUCGCGAAUUCCUUCUCAGGAGCCUGUAAGAGAUCGAAGUUCGUCUCGCACCGAACAGAAGCAAACCCGGAUCCGUUCGUUUGGGGGUUGAAAAGGGUGAACAGUAUCGCACGCUGGAAUAACUGCGUUUUUUGCAUCACCAUCACUGCUUUUGACAUCCCCGACGAUCUCACCGUAUCCGAAUGCUCCGACCACGAUCCCGCCUGGUCCGGACCGCGGGUGAAGUCGAACAAGGUGCCCGCGAGGAACUGAGAGACGUUUCUGCAGAACUGCUAUUUUCGCUGUCAGGCAAAAGCUCGAUUCUCCCCUGGAGGAACUCUAUGCGGACGAGAGAGCAGCGGGGAUGUCGAACGGUUCGUGACUCUCAAACGUCACCCUACAUGGAAUCCAACGUCCUUGCGUGUCCCGAUGACAUCCAAACACCGACAGACUCAAACAGGGACGAUACUCCACCCUGAUGAACGGGCUCGUAGACUCCGCCGUAAACUUGAAGUCCGAAGUUGGUGAUCGAAGUUACGUCCAAGGGAUCCGCAUCAGGAACUACUCUGCCCCUGUAGUAGGCUUUGAAGUUCGAAAUAGGCAACGAAAUCGUGGUGAAAUCUUCCGCGGAGAUUGGGACCUGCGAUCAAACCGAUCGUCUACAACUUCUGAACGAAACCAGCAAAUCCGGCGCCGUUUGGCUGGGGGUUUAGGAGGGUGAAGAAAAUCGCCCUUUGGAAUUCCUGGGUCGUUUGCAGGACUAUGACUGCCUUAGAUUUUCCAACCGUUCUUACUGUGUCCGAUUGCUCUGUCCAGGGGGAAACGUCAUCUAAGGUCGUAAAGUCGAAUAGGAUACGGUCGCUGUAAGAAGUGGAAGGGAGGUCGUUCAUUUACUUUCAUAAAUUUUCACGAGGACCGGGAACAAGCAAUUAGCGGUGACCGCGUCUGUCUCUGCUCAGAAUUCGUUACGCGAAUAUCACGACCGUUUCCGCAGAUCUUGGGAGUAUCUCCAGGCGAUAGUUCGAGUUCGUAUAUCGCAUAAUUGGCUCCUGGAUCGGUUAUGGAACUGCAUCUGAACGAGUAUGUAGAAAGUACUGCACCCGAAGCAAACACAUCACUUGGGAAGAAAAAAAAAUGUACGAGAAGCCAGCCGAUGGAAAGUAAAAGGAAAAGGGAGACACGAAUUUGCGGAAAAACUCGAUGGAGGAAGAAAAGUGUAUCGGCGCAGUUCGAAGGGAUGGACGGUUGGUCGGCUCGCAGGGUAGGCGACCUGGUGCACUACUUUCGCAUAUUGCAACACCUGCUCCGAUGCGGUGCACGAAGAUGAACAACAUAUCUUCGUCUCGAACAGCGAGAACGUAGGGACAAAAAUCUACCAGGACGAUUACUGUGAGGUCUGACUUCGCUGAUUGCGGGAUCAGCGGCUACCAAAGCCGCAAGUAUCACCACCAGGCUAAUGGGCGCCAACAUCAUCUGCAAUGCAAAAACGAAACGAUGUAGGUAAAUGGAUGUGGAAGAUAGUGCGAAUAUCGAAUUGGAAGCAACUCGUUGGAAUAAUCGCCACGGUGGACCUUACCUUGUUUAAGAAGAUGUGAGAGAACUGAUUUCUGACCGAGAACUGCACUCUCGGAUGUGCUGCUGCCUGGAAUUCGAAGUCCCAAGUUCUCUGAACUGCGAAACGUUUAACACAAUCGCCUUCGCAUCCGCCUACAACCCAUCAUCUACUUGGCUACAACUUGGCGCUCGUUUCUCCAGAUUGCGAAGCGUUAUCGCUGUGGUACCUCCUCACGGCCGAAGCUGCUCAGAGCCUGCCUAUGCGGGCGUUCGAGUCUCUCUAGCGUAUUUUUAUACUAUAGAUAAUAAGGAAUACCGCAAACCGGGCAGCUCGGGGACUGGGGAAAAUCGUCUUGCGAGUUACUCUCCGCCUACCGCACGACGUUCAGAUUUGUCUGAAAUGUGGAGCGAGGGAGGCCAGGAUCUUUUCAAUGAUUGUCUUACCGGCCGCAGGAGUGAACGCGAGGAUUGAAUAAGACAAU